GUAGGGGCCAAGCGUUGUCCGGAUUUAUUGGGCGUAAAGGGCUCGUAGGCGGUUCAGCAAGUCAAUCGUGAAAGCUCGGGGCUCAACCCCGAGACUGCGGUCGAAACUGCUGUGACUAGGGUCCGGUAGAGGUGAGUGGAAUUCUCGGUGUAGCGGUGAAAUGCGCAGAUAUCGAGAGGAACACCGGUAGCGAAGGCGGCUCACUGGGCCGGUACCGACGCUGAUGAGCGAAAGCGUGGGGAGCAAACAGGAUUAGAUACCCUGGUAGUCCACGCCGUAAACGUUGAACACUAGGUGUGGCGGACUUAUCCACGUCUGCUGUGCCGCAGCUAACGCAUUAAGUGUUCCCGCCUGGGGAGUACGGCCGCAAGGCUA
rnacentral:rRNA from 1 species